rnacentral:rRNA from 1 species
AUCGAACGCUGGCGGCAUGCCUUACACAUGCAAGUCGAACGGCAGCACGGGUGCUUGCACCUGGUGGCGAGUGGCGAACGGGUGAGUAAUAUAUCGGAACAUACCCUAGAGUGGGGGAUAACGUAGCGAAAGUUACGCUAAUACCGCAUACGAACUAAGGUUGAAAGUGGGGGAUCGCAAGACCUCAUGCUCAUGGAGUGGCCGAUAUCUGAUUAGCUAGUUGGAGAGGUAAAGGCUCACCAAGGCGACGAUCAGUAGCUGGUAUGAGAGAACGACCAGCCACACUGGAACUGAGACACGGUCCAGACUCCUACGGGAGGCAGCAGUGGGGAAUUUUGGACAAUGGGGGCAACCCUGAUCCAGCAAUGCCGCGUGAGUGAAGAAGGCCCUCGGGUUGUAAAGCUCUUUUGUCAGGGAAGAAACGGUCUACUCUAAUACAGUGGGCUAAUGACGGUACCUGAAGAAUAAGCACCGGCUAACUACGUGCCAGCCGCCGCGGUAAUAC